AUCAGAACUGCAAACCUUCCAAAGCCAUCUUUUGUCAAUGCUAAAUAAAUAAAAGGCCUGUGGUAGGUUUGUCACAAGUUGUAAUCUAAAAUUGCAACUUCCUACAGCAGUCUGUCUUUCAUAUCCUUGCUGACUUGGAUUGUCAAUGACUUCAGUUUUUAUUUUCUUUUCCCUAGUUUUGCAAAUAUUUAUGUUUGCCAAGGAAUUUUGGCCUAGUACCUAGAGCCAAUAUGAAGUAAUGAUGUUAUAAGUUACAAAUACUGUAGGAAGAUAGAGAAAGGCCAUGUCUUUAUGUCUCAGUCUUCAAGACAAUUUUUAAAAGCCCUGAGACAUUAGUAAAACUGUAAUAUUAUAGUAUUUUGAGUGAUAUGAAAGUAUCUGGGGAUCUCUGAUUAAAAGAUCUCAAAAGCUAUUCAAGAUUUGUACUAAAUUGCAAGAGAAAGAAUGCAGGCUUGCAUAUUAUUCCUUCUUUAAUGCCAGAUGGAUUAGUGUUAUGAUAAUGAAUAUCCAAGGAAUUAAAUGCGAUUUGUCAUUUGUUGCAAAGUUUUGCCCAGAAUAGCAAUCCAUCAUUGCUUUUUCAUGAAAGAAUAUUUAUCGCUGAGUGAGAUCUCAAAGAUAUUACUCUCUUCAUAAAAAUGCCUAUUGCCACUAUUAACAUAAUGUUCUAAUAAUAUCAAAGCAGGUUAAGCCCUAGUAGUUUAUCAGGAGUCAAGAGAGUCAAACUGACACUUUUAAUGAGAUAACAUAGGCUUGCUUUAAUGGGUUAAUUUUGUACCACCCUCCCUCCUAGUUACCGUCAUGCAUGACUAUUCCUCUUCUCUGCAGCAUGCAACAAGCAGAUGGAACGGUCAGCAAGUCAAAAUAUGAAAUGUUGGAAAGGUCACAGUACUACAGGAUGCUACUGUCUUUCUCAUCUGUCUUACAAUUAGGAUGUCUUGUUCUUGUAGCAAGAGUCAUAAUGAGGACUGUAAUGAAUACAACUUAUGUCUGUUCCUCUCAUCCAGCAGCUGAAAGCAAAGGACAGUUUCUUGAAUGUCUUAUGAGCCAUAGUCCAAGUAAGUUUGGGUGACAUGUGCCAGAGCUCCAUCACUGCAAAAACUGCUGUCCAGUAGAUCUGCUGCUCUGUGCAAUGAUCUCAUGACUUACCAGGCAGUGACUGAUGGUCAUAUCUGCCGUUCUAGUAAGCAACUUUCAAACAGGUAAACAGAAGAGUAGAAACAAUGCCAUGAAACUUGGUGUAUUUUUGAAGGCCCUGUGCUGUCGUUAGUGUUGUUAUCUGGAUCAUAGUAGUGCCUAAUGCUACACGUGAGCAGUUCCUGGGCCAAAGGCACCUAAGAAGCAAUGAGGAAAGCAGAAAUGUGAUUAGACAACCACCAUGAUUUCCUCUGGUUACAUAGCUGGUCAGUGGCAGAGCCAGCAAUAUAACGCAUUCUGCGAUUUCCUGGUCAUCUCUGCUAUCUGUGCGAACUUACAGUAAAAGUAUCUGACUAUACAGUUAUACUCGGAGACCUUUUUUUCUCAGUGUUUCUGUCUUGAAUAAGUUUUAAAACAUGGUGUGUUUUCUUGCUUUCUCAUCAUUUAUGGAAAAGUAGCAGUGCAUGUAAAAGUAUGUAUUCAACUGUAACGUGAACCACGAGAGAUUCGUACACAAUGAGCACUUUGCAUGGAGGCAUAAGGCAAUAUAUGGAAAACGAAUACUAGGAAGCUAAUAAUCCUAGUAAAGAAAAUGCUAGUGUUUAUUCAUUUUGCAAGCUUUUCACACGUCAUUCAAUGCUGGCUGGUUUUUAUACAUGCCACUUAGGCAAAGCACCUCAUGCAUCAGGGAAUCUGGUAUGCCUGGUUGUGGGGCUGAUUCUGUGCUUAGAAACUGCACCAUGAAGUGCUAGACCUUCUCUGUCAAUAACUCAAGAAAUAUGGGAGAUGGAGAAAAGCUGUGUGUAUUUUAUCCUAAUUCAUGGUAGAAGCUUUACACGGUGGUAACAUGAAAAGGUUCAGUGAGUGAAUUUUCAUUAGAGUUGCAGAAGUAUAGGAGUUAUGGCAAUAGCAGAAAUGUAUAGGAGUUUUGCAAA
ensembl:lncRNA